AUCCAGCUGACGAGUCCCGAAUGCGAUGAAACGCGUGUCCUGCAU
rfam:Schistosoma margrebowiei strain Zambia genome assembly, scaffold: SMRZ_contig0005058